rnacentral:rRNA from 1 species
GACGAACGCUGGCGGCGUGCUUAAUACAUGCAAGUCGAACGGAAAGGCCCUGCUUUUGCGGGGUGCUCGAGUGGCGAACGGGUGAGUAACACGUGAGUAAACUGCCCUUGACUUUGGGAUAACUUCAGGAAAAUGGGGCUAAUACCGGAUAGGAGCUACUGAUGCAUGGUGGGGGUUGGAAAGUUUCGGCGGUUGGGGCUGGACUCGCGGCUUAUCAGCUUGUUGGUGAGGUAGUGGCUUACCAAGGCUUUGACGGGUAGCCGGCCUGAGAGGGUGACCGGCCACAUUGGGACUGAGAGACGGCCCAGACUCCUACGGGAGGCAGCAGUGGGGAAUAUUGCGCAAUGGGCGGAAGCCUGAUGCAGCAACGCCGCGUGCGGGAUGACGGCCUUCGGGUUGUAAACCGCUUUCGCCUGUGACGAAGCGUGAGUGACGGUAAUGGGUAAAGAAGCACCGGCUAACUACGUG